UGAGUAACACGUGGAUAACCUACCUAUAAGACUGGGAUAACUUCGGGAAACCGGAGCUAAUACCGGAUAAUAUAUUGAACCGCAUGGUUCAAUAGUGAAAGACGGUUUUGCUGUCACUUAUAGAUGGAUCCGCGCCGCAUUAGCUAGUUGGUAAGGUAACGGCUUACCAAGGCAACGAUGCGUAGCCGACCUGAGAGGGUGAUCGGCCACACUGGAACUGAGACACGGUCCAGACUCCUACGGGAGGCAGCAGCU
rnacentral:rRNA from 1 species